AAGCUUGCUUCUAUGACGUUAGCGGCGGACGGGUGAGUAACACGUGGGCAACCUGCCUGUAAGACUGGGAUAACUUCGGGAAACCGAAGCUAAUACCGGAUAGGAUCUUCUCCUUCAUGGGAGAUGAUUGAAAGAUGGUUUCGGCUAUCACUUACAGAUGGGCCCGCGGUGCAUUAGCUAGUUGGUGAGGUAACGGCUCACCAAGGCAACGAUGCAUAGCCGACCUGAGAGGGUGAUCGGCCACACUGGGACUGAGACACGGCCCAGACUCCUACGGGAGGCAGCAGUAGGGAAUCUUCCGCAAUGGACGAAAGUCUGACGGAGCAACGCCGCGUGAGUGAUGAAGGCUUUCGGGUCGUAAAACUCUGUUGUUAGGGAAGAACAAGUACAAGAGUAACUGCUUGUACCUUGACGGUACCUAACCAGAAAGCCACGGCUAACUACGUGCCAGCAGCCGCGGUAAUACGUAGGUGGCAAGCGUUAUCCGGAAUUAUUGGGCGUAAAGCGCGCGCAGGCGGUUUCUUAAGUCUGAUGUGAAAGCCCACGGCUCAACCGUGGAGGGUCAUUGGAAACUGGGGAACUUGAGUGCAGAAGAGAAAAGCGGAAUUCCACGUGUAGCGGUGAAAUGCGUAGAGAUGUGG
rnacentral:rRNA from 1 species